rnacentral:rRNA from 1 species
AUUGAACGCUGGCGGCAGGCCUAACACAUGCAAGUCGAACGAGUGGCGGACGGGUGAGUAAUGUAUGGGAAACUGCCCGAUGGAGGGGGAUAACUACUGGAAACGGUAGCUAAUACCGCAUACCAUCGGAUGUGCCCAUAUGGGAUUAGCUAGUAGGUGGGGUAACGGCUCACCUAGGCGACGAUCCCUAGCUGGUCUGAGAGGAUGAUCAGCCACACGGGAACUGAGACACGGUCCCGACUCCUACGUGAGGCAGCAGUGGGGAAUAGUGCACAAUGGGCUCAAUCCUGAUGCAGCCAUGCCGCGUGUAUGAAGAAGGCCUUCGGGUUGUAAAGUACUUUCAGCGAGGAGGCGUUACUUACAGAAGAAGCACCGGCUAACUCCGUGCCAGCCGCCGCGGUAAUAC